rnacentral:rRNA from 1 species
AUUGAACGCUGGCGGCAUGCCUUACACAUGCAAGUCGAACGGCAGCACGGGAGCAAUCCUGGUGGCGAGUGGCGAACGGGUGAGUAAUACAUCGGGAACGUACCCAGUUGUGGGGGAUAGCUCGGCGAAAAGCCGGAUUAAUACCGCAUACGACCUGAGGGUGAAAGCGGGGGAUCGCAAGACCUCGCGCAGUUGGAGCGGCCGAUGUCAGAUUAGCAGUUGGUGGGGUAAAAGCCUACCAAGGCGACGAUCUGUAGCUGGUCUCGAGAGGACGACCAGCCACACUGGGACUGAGACACGGCCCAGACUCCUACGGGAGGCAGCAGUGGGGAAUUUUGGACAAUGGGCGCAAGCCUGAUCCAGCCAUGCCGCGUGCGGGAAGAAGGCC